UUACUUGCAACGCCAUCUGUCCUGGAUUUGCCAACGCGCCAAUGAGCCACGGGCUGAUAAGGGAUUACGCUAACAAGAAUAAUCUCACGUUUGACGAAGCAAUGCAAGUUUUUGUAGAGAAGAACAACCCAACCAAGAAACCGGUGGAAAUUAAUGAGUUUCAGCUUGUUAAGUCGUCACUGUGGUUUGGACGCGAUGACGCGCUAUCAGGCGAGUCACAAGCCACGACCCCCUGAUUCAGUAGUGGCACCACUUAUACCAAGCAAUAUAGGGUGCUGGGGAUCGAACCCGGACCCCACUGGACACAGUGGUUUUAUUGAAUGUCUAGGCCUGCACUGGAAUUAUGUGAGUGAGUGUGGGUUU